GCGGGUGUGGCCAAGCGGUUACGGCACUGGAUUGUGAUUCCAGCAUUCGCGGGUUCGAAUCCCGUCACUCGCC